rnacentral:rRNA from 16 species
GUAKUUUKKWUCYUGGYUCAGGACGAACGCUGGCGGCGUGCUUAACACAUGCAAGUCGAACGAUGAACCGCUUUCGGGCGGGGAUUAGUGGCGAACGGGUGAGUAACACGUGGGCAAUCUGCCCUGCACUCUGGGACAAGCCCUGGAAACGGGGUCUAAUACCGGAUAUGACUGUCCAUCGCAUGGUGGAUGGUGUAAAGCUCCGGCGGUGCAGGAUGAGCCCGCGGCCUAUCAGCUUGUUGGUGAGGUAGUGGCUCACCAAGGCGACGACGGGUAGCCGGCCUGAGAGGGCGACCGGCCACACUGGGACUGAGACACGGCCCAGACUCCUACGGGAGGCAGCAGUGGGGAAUAUUGCACAAUGGGCGAAAGCCUGAUGCAGCGACGCCGCGUGAGGGAUGACGGCCUUCGGGUUGUAAACCUCUUUCAGCAGGGAAGAAGCGAAAGUGACGGUACCUGCAGAAGAAGCGCCGGCUAACUACGUG